rnacentral:rRNA from 1 species
CGCGUAGGCGGUGCGGUAAGUCACUUGUGAAAUCUCCCGGCUCAACUGGGAGCCUGCAGGCGAAACUGCCGUGCUGGAGUAUGGGAGAGGUGCGUGGAAUUCCCGGUGUAGCAGUGAAAUGCGUAGAUAUCGGGAGGAACACCUGUGGCGAAAGCGGCGCACUGGACCAUAACUGACGCUGAGGCGCGAAAGCUAGGGGAGCAAACAGGAUUAGAUACCCUGGUAGUCCUAGCCCUAAACGAUGAUGGCUUGGUGUGAUCGGUACCCAAUCCGAUUGUGCCGCAGCUAACGCGAUAAGCCAUCCGCCUGGGGAGUACGGUCGCAAGGCUGAA